AGAGGAAGGAGAAGUCGUAACAAGGUUUCCGUAGGUGAACCUGCGGAAGGAUCAUUGUCGUCGCCACGAAACACGACCGCGAACACGUAACGUAAAGCCUCCGGGGGGGCCUCCUCCCCGGACCCGCCGGCCCCGGCCCCUCUGGUCGGGUGCCGGAACACGGCGCGGACUGUCGCCAAGGAACACCGAUCUGCCCCGGGCACGCCGCACUCCGCGGCGCCGCCGAGGCCAAGCAAACAGUACGACUCUCGGCAACGGAUAUCUCGGCUCUCGCAUCGAUGAAGAACGUAGCGAAAUGCGAUACGUGGUGUGAAUUGCAGAAUCCCGUGAACCAUCGAGUCUUUGAACGCAAGUUGCGCCCGAGGGACCCUCCCGAGGGCACGCCUGCCUGGGCGUUAGAAGCCCAUCAACGCUCGGUCACCCGACCGCACGCGGACAGUGGCCCUCCGAGCCGUGUAGGCGCGGCGGGCCGAAGCGCGAGGCCGUCGACCGCGUCGGGGGCGGCAAGUGGUGGGCUACAGCGCAUGCCGACCCCGACCCGUGUCGACACCCGGCCCCUAACGACCCCACGACGAGGAGACUGUCGCCGCCGCGCGACGCCUUCGGACCGAUACCCCAGGUCAGGCGGGGCCACCCGCUGA
rnacentral:rRNA from 1 species